GUGCGUUUUGUCAUUCCCGGGUGCCCCACCAUAACAACUGCCCAUAUUCUCGCUUCACGCUCAACGUUUGACAGAGCUGAAUGCCUCUCAUAGCAGUCGAACGGUGACACUUGCCGAGAACGGCCAAAGACCACUGUAAAUCCCAGAUCGUGACAGAGAGAUAACGUGAAUCAUCUCUCUGAUAAAUUCAUGCAUCAAUCGGGUCAAUAAAAAUUUCAAAAUUCAUUUCAUCACUUACAAGCAAAUUGUUUUAGAAAGACCUGUCCCUGUUCCCGGACAUUUUUUUACUUGUUUCCGACGGUUUCAAAUUUAAUGAAGUGACUAAGUGGCGGUUAAGUGGUAUCUCAUUCAUUUUUUGUGUCACAUCCAUGGGAUUCUGCGAAGUCGAGCGGAUGUACUCUCUUUGGAAUAAUUUAUUGGAUCCAGCGCGGCUUUUGAUUCUGGCUGAAGUCACCAACGUCUCCUCUAUUUCAAAAGACUUCAUGAAGUGAUAAACAUGAGUGGUUGUUACCAGUGACGAUUACAUUAGUCGAUGCACUUAUUCAAAUAAACAAUUAAAAUUGCAGGACUUUUUAUUGAGUCGAAAAUAUUUGGGUAUCAAAAUUUCAGUGAUUAAACAUUAAUUAUUCAGCGGCUUCAGUGAAGUGUUUGGAGAUAAGAUACAGCGAUACUUCAUUGAGGGAGAUUCAGGAGUAUAAAUUCCGGGAAAUAAACAAGACCCAGCUGCACCGGAGAAUAGCAGUGCGAGGUCGGGUGCACGUGUAAAUCGCGAUACACCUGAGGGCUGUAUACUUUCACCUUCGUUGUGUGUGGUUUUACCGCGAUGUGAGUCAAGUUUUGACUCAUGCGGAUACUCUGGCGAUGAUUAAGCGAGAAUCAUUUGAUGACGUCAAGGUGCGCAUUCAAUAGUGAACCGGAGACCACGAUUGAGGUGAAUCGACGCUCUCAGAACCCAUUGAGGAUGAAUUUUAUUUAUCCGCGAAUGACGAGGACUGAAUCGGCAAUGAGCAUGGAGAACGUAACUACUUAUUGGCUGCCCCGGAUCGCCGAGGCUGUCAAUCAUACAAUGACAGAGGCAUCGAGGUUCCCUAAGCCUCUGAGGACAUUUGCCGCAGUUGUUUCUAUUCUGAUAAUGAUAACGGGUUUCGUGGGAAAUUUACUCACGAUCAUUGCUCUCUGCAAGUAUCCAAAGGUUCGCAAUGUCGCUGCUGCAUUUAUCAUAAGUCUGUGCUUUGCUGAUUUUAUUUUCUGUGUGCUGGUGCUGCCGUUUGAUUCAAUCAGAUUUGUGAAUCAUGGCUGGACAGAUGCGCGAUUUCUCUGUGUUCUCGUGCCAUUUCUACGAUAUGGAAACGUCGGGGUGAGCCUCCUCUGCGUUGCUGCUAUCACUGUCAAUCGAUAUAUUAUGAUUACUCAUCAUAAUCUUUAUGGGAAGAUUUAUAAGAAGCAUUGGAUCGCAGCUAUGAUUCUGUUUUGCUAUGUGUUCUCGUAUUCGAUGCAGGUGCCCACACUCAUUGGUGCCUGGGGUAACUUUGAUUAUGAUUCAAACCUCGAAACCUGCUCAAUAGUGAGAGACUCCAGGGGUCGGAGUUCGAAGACCUUCCUGUUUCUAACUGGCUUUGUGAUUCCUUGUAUAAUAAUUAUCGGCUGUUACGCGAAAAUAUUUUGGGUUGUUCACAGUUCGGAAUCGCGAAUGCGUAAGCAUGCAAGUCCAGCUGUAAAAUCACCUCACACUCCAGGACGUGAUACAAGAGAGAUAAAGCAGCGCCGAAGCGAGUGGAGGAUAACAAAAAUGGUAUUAGUUAUAUUCCUGAGCUUCGUUGCCUGUUACUUGCCGAUCACCAUCGUUAAAGUGACUGAUCCGGAAGUCAGAUAUCCCGCGGCUCAUGUGACGGGUUACUUACUUCUCUACUUCGCAUCCUGCGUUAAUCCGAUAAUCUAUGUUAUAAUGAACAAACAGUACAGACAGGCGUAUGCAGGUGUUAUUAGCUGUUCGAGGAUUCGUGCAACGUUGACCCCCCAUGGAAGCAGUGUCCCGGGACAAAAUAACUAUGGCCAAGGACCGCCAGAUGCGAGCUAGAUAAUAGACUGUCACUUUACUACUAACGCGGAUCUCAACGGUAGCAUGUUUUUGAUAGACCGGCGAAUGAAGCUAGAUUAUUCCAAGGAUUAUAGCAAGACGAUGGUGUCAACCGUGUCGAUUGCGAUGAAUCCGGUGAUAAGAAAGUCGGAGCUUCCGGAUGACUAUUAAUCGCCAGGAAAACAACUCAGAGUGUUUGUACACUCAAGCGAAUAC